GGAAGGAUCAUUAACGUUACCUCAUCCAACCUUGCUGUCGGUCGCCUGCAAAGGUGGCCGACAACAAGCACCUGUGACUUGUUAAAGUCCUUAACAGUACCCGAUCCGAUCGGGUACCGUUAAAGCACCCUUUACAAUCGUAUGUCUAAUCGUGAGUUCCUCUCUGUGAGGAGCGCAACCAUUGUUAACCAAGACACAACUUUUAACAACGGAUAUCUAGGUUCUCACAACGAUGAAGAGCGCAGCGAAAUGCGAUACGUAGUGUGAAUUGCAGAAUUCAGUGAAUCAUCGAAACCUUGAACGCACCUUGCGCUUGCGGUCACCCGCAAGCAUGCCUGUUUGAGUGUCGUUUAUCCAUCCUCAUCAAAUUCAAGAUACCCUCUUUGACUUCUGGUGGUACUGAGCAUUUGCAUCAUUGCAAUCGCUUGAAAAGGAGAGAGGCUACAGGGUAUCGGAUUCAGCAUCCGGCAGCUUCUGCAGUCCACGGGUGUCUCUAGCAUGCUCUGUCAUGAUUCACAUCCGUACUGCAACCGAGGAGCUCCGAAGCAGAAAUCGUACUCUCGCCUUAAUCUGCUAUCCGCCCCUCAAAAGGGGCAGAUAGAUCGCAUCCAAAACUGCGACCUCAAAUCAGACAAGAUUACCCGCUGAAUUUAAGCAUAUAAAUAAGCGGUGGAGAAGAAACUAACCAGGAUUCCCUCAGUAACUGCGAGUGAAGCGGGAAGAGCUCAAGCUUAAAAUCUGGAGAGGCCUCCUCUCCCGAAUUGUAGUUUCGCGAAUGACGCUUACGGGCAGUCCGCUCCGGCAGAAGUCCUCUGGAAAGAGGCGCCGCAGAGGGUGAGAGCCCCGUACACGGCCGGAUGCCGGGCUGUCAACACGUACCGUCCAUUUGCAGAGUCGGGUUGUUUGGGAGUACAGCCCUAAGCGCGUGGUAAGUUCCAUGUAAAGCUAAAUAAGGGUGAGAGACCGAUAGCGAACAAGUACCGUGAGGGAAAGAUGCAAAGAACUUUGAAAAGAGAGUUAAAAGUGCUUGAAAUUGUUAAAAGGGAAGCGAUUUGGGUCAGUGAAUGGCGGUUGCCGACUCAUUCGCACCGGGGGUGUUGGUUCGCGGUCAGCUCGAGCAGCCCUCUGUGGCGGCCAACUGAUCGCUGCCUGGCAUCUCCGGGGCGAAGCACUUCGGUGAUCGCCGAGUCAGCAUCAGUUAGGGGAGGAGUAAAAGGAUUGGAGGGAGGUGACAUGAUGGAACUCCUUGAGGGUUUCACCGUGUGUUAUACCCUCCGGUAGAUGCUCUUCUCAUCUAACUGAGGAGUCUCUAUGGACUAGAACAGGUGCCCUCUGGGCUGGACAUGGUUGCUCGCUGGUGCUUGUUGGAGAGGGGGACAGCAUGCUGUGCCUUUCAUCAGCGGGUGUCACCGAGCAGCCGUCGCACACCUGUUAGUGAUGCUGACCAGACGGCCCAAACCGUCCCGUCUUGAAACACGGACCAAGGAGUCUAACAUAUAUGCGAGUGCUUGGGUGACAAACCUAGACGCGUAAUGAAAGUAAAGGGAGGUUCGGCCUCCUGAGGUGGGAAGCCUCUCUCUAGGCAGGGGCAGCACCAUCGACCGAUCUGGAUACUUUUGGAUAGAUUUGAGUAAGAGCAUAUCUGUUGGGACCCGAAAGAUAGCGAACUAUGCCCGCAUAGGGUGAGGCCAGACGAAAGUCUGGUGGAGGCUCGUAGCGAUACUGACGUGCAAAUCGUUCGUCAAAUGUGGGUAUAGCGGCGAAAGACUAAUCGAGCUGUCUAGUAAACUGCUUGCUAGCAAAAACAGAGGUCUGAUGGUUCUCAGACUUUCGGUCUGUUAGUCACUGGCUCAGCAAUUUAUGAGCCACUGGCGAGGUGUCCUGGUACGGGGAAGGCCUCAAAGCUGUAGUGCUGCUGAGAACCGCAUGCAGCACUCCGGUAAGGGGUUGAUCCCGUGGCGAGCUAGCACAGAGUGAUCUGUGCAUAGCCGUCGUAACGCGCGCUAAGGCACCGGUAUCUCUUGACGACUCGCUCGUCAAGGAUGCUCAAGGUACGUGCUAAUCCUGCACGAUGAAAAAGUGCAUCUGACACUGGAGCUCCCAUUUUAGCAAAGGUGUUGGAGAGAUGGGUGGAAAGGAAAUGUUCCAUCCACGAAGCAGCGAUUUAUUUGAAUUCAUGUACAGCUGUGGUUCCAUCGGUGAAUUCCACUGUGUUUCUUCUCUCCCUCGGGGGAUAGAAUGCAUUCAGCAAAGUCGCUGCUUCAGUCUCGGUAUCAAUGAGCUGGUUCCUUC
rnacentral:misc_RNA from 1 species